rnacentral:rRNA from 3 species
AGAGUUUGAUCAUGGCUCAGAUUGAACGCUGGCGGCAGGCCUAACACAUGCAAGUCGAGCGGUAGCACAGAGAGCUUGCUCUCGGGUGACGAGCGGCGGACGGGUGAGUAAUGUCUGGGAAACUGCCUGAUGGAGGGGGAUAACUACUGGAAACGGUAGCUAAUACCGCAUAAUGUCGCAAGACCAAAGUGGGGGACCUUCGGGCCUCAUGCCAUCAGAUGUGCCCAGAUGGGAUUAGCUAGUAGGUGGGGUAACGGCUCACCUAGGCGACGAUCCCUAGCUGGUCUGAGAGGAUGACCAGCCACACUGGAACUGAGACACGGUCCAGACUCCUACGGGAGGCAGCAGUGGGGAAUAUUGCACAAUGGGCGCAAGCCUGAUGCAGCCAUGCCGCGUGUGUGAAGAAGGCCUUCGGGUUGUAAAGCACUUUCAGCGGGGAGGAAGGCGNNNNNNNNNNNNNNNNNNNCGAUUGACGUUACCCGCAGAAGAAGCACCGGCUAACUCCGUGCCAGCAGCCGCGGUAAUACGGAGGGUGCAAGCGUUAAUCGGAAUUACUGGGCGUAAAGCGCACGCAGGCGGUCUGUCAAGUCGGAUGUGAAAUCCCCGGGCUCAACCUGGGAACUGCAUUCGAAACUGGCAGGCUAGAGUCUUGUAGAGGGGGGUAGAAUUCCAGGUGUAGCGGUGAAAUGCGUAGAGAUCUGGAGGAAUACCGGUGGCGAAGGCGGCCCCCUGGACAAAGACUGACGCUCAGGUGCGAAAGCGUGGGGAGCAAACAGGAUUAGAUACCCUGGUAGUCCACGCCGUAAACGAUGUCGAUUUGGAGGUUGUGCCCUUGAGGCGUGGCUUCCGGAGCUAACGCGUUAAAUCGACCGCCUGGGGAGUACGGCCGCAAGGUUAAAACUCAAAUGAAUUGACGGGGGCCCGCACAAGCGGUGGAGCAUGUGGUUUAAUUCGAUGCAACGCGAAGAACCUUACCUGGUCUUGACAUCCACAGAACUUAGCAGAGAUGCUUUGGUGCCUUCGGGAACUGUGAGACAGGUGCUGCAUGGCUGUCGUCAGCUCGUGUUGUGAAAUGUUGGGUUAAGUCCCGCAACGAGCGCAACCCUUAUCCUUUGUUGCCAGCGGUUAGGCCGGGAACUCAAAGGAGACUGCCAGUGAUAAACUGGAGGAAGGUGGGGAUGACGUCAAGUCAUCAUGGCCCUUACGACCAGGGCUACACACGUGCUACAAUGGCAUAUACAAAGAGAAGCGACCUCGCGAGAGCAAGCGGACCUCAUAAAGUAUGUCGUAGUCCGGAUUGGAGUCUGCAACUCGACUCCAUGAAGUCGGAAUCGCUAGUAAUCGUAGAUCAGAAUGCUACGGUGAAUACGUUCCCGGGCCUUGUACACACCGCCCGUCACACCAUGGGAGUGGGUUGCAAAAGAAGUAGGUAGCUUAACCUUCGGGAGGGCGCUUACCACUUUGUGAUUCAUGACUGGGGUGAAGUCGUAACAAGGUAACCGUAGGGGAACCUGCGGUUG